rnacentral:rRNA from 1 species
UGGGGAAUUUUGGACAAUGGGCGAAAGCCUGAUCCAGCAAUGCCGCGUGUGUGAAGAAGGCCUUCGGGUUGUAAAGCACUUUUGUCCGGAAAGAAAUCCUUGGCUCUAAUACAGUCGGGGGAUGACGGUACCGGAAGAAUAAGCACCGGCUAACUACGUGCCAGCAGCCGCGGUAAUACGUAGGGUGCAAGCGUUAAUCGGAAUUACUGGGCGUAAAGCGUGCGCAGGCGGUUUGCUAAGACCGAUGUGAAAUCCCCGGGCUCAACCUGGGAACUGCAUUGGUGACUGGCAGGCUAGAGUAUGGCAGAGGGGGGUAGAAUUCCACGUGUAGCAGUGAAAUGCGUAGAGAUGUGGAGGAAUACCGAUGGCGAAGGCAGCCCCCUGGGCCAAUACUGACGCUCAUGCACGAAAGCGUGGGGAGCAAACAGGAUUAGAUACCCUGGUAGUCCACGCCCUAAAACGAUGUCAACUAGUUGUUGGGGAUUCAUUUUCCUUAGUAACGUAGCUAACGCGUGAAGUUGACCGCCUGGGGAGUACGUCGCAAGAUUAAAACUCAAAUGAAUUGAC